GUUUAUUCUGAAAGGGCUCAGCUGUGUGUGCAAGAGUGUAUGUGAGUGUGUGUGUAUGUCAGCAUAUGUGUGUGAGUAUGUAUGUGUCUGUGUGAACGUGUACGUGUGUGUAUGUGUAUGUGUGUGAGGAUGGUGUGUAUGUGUAUGUGCUGAAGUAAAUAUGACUGAACAAUAAGAAUCGUCGAUCUGGUUGUUUGGUACAUGAGUAUUCAUCUUAUUUCUUUUUCACUUUUUCUGUGCAUUUGAAAGCUUUCAUAGGAAGUCAGAAAAUGUAUCUGGUUGUUAAAACAAUAUUGUAACGUACACACACAGUCCAUUUCCAGUCCCAGAAUUGAGACAGUUAGUGCAGAGGCCACUGGCUCAGCUGUGGAAACCAGACUGCACGGUCCAUCUGCACCCAUGCUGUCUGUGAGCCCUGGGAAUGUCGCUUCCUGUCUCUGGGCCUCAGUUUCCUUCUCUAUAAAAUGGGCUGAUGCUGUUCCUGCCACAGAGGCUGGUGGGAUUCAGGCCACAUACCCCGGCACAUCAGCGUUCCGUUGUUACACAUUUGAAUACUCCCAAGCCAGUUGGUAAACAGUUGACUCUCCGGGACCCCUUGCACGUUUCCACGACUCAGCAAUCAACGUGGAGCUGAACUGGCUGUGAAGCGUUUUGAGCACUGCCCGUGUUUGUCUCACAGCCCUCACGGGAAUCCCGGUUAAUAUACUCAAUGAGCGGAGCCCUGAAAACCCCGCCUGCCACCUCGUGCAGCUGUGUCACUGGGAUGGACACAGGAAGCAAUGUGGGGUCUUUGCUGCCAGUGAGCUCCCGGUCUAGGAGAAGAGAGAGGAAGCAUCUUUAUCUGUGUUAUCCCAGAGAUGGGUUUUCACCAUUGUCUCGUCUGGUCUUGAACGCCUGAGCUCAAGCCAUUCGCCUGCCUCGGCCUCUCAAAGUGCUGGGAUUACAGGCAUAAGCCACCAUGCCUGGCCUCAAAAGAAUUAAAACGGUUAAUGAGUUAAAACAAGAUUAAGUCUGUACAUUAUAUAAUGUAGAAGCUUCUGUGGAAAACUCCCCAGCCCUAUGUGGACGACAUCACAUCUGAUUUAUCCUUGUGGUCUACACCGCUGGGUGCUCAGCCUUCUCCUGAGAGAUGCUGUGAAACUUCUCUACCACCUGGAACAGGAGAAGGGAGGCCCAUGUGGGGGCAGAGACCUCUGUCCAGAGUCCAGUGGCAGCUGAACAGAAUGUUACUGGAUAGAGUUGUCCAGUUUCUUGGCGUGUUGAACGAAGAACUGAACAAAAUGCACAAAGUAACAAAAGAACAAAACAACAGAAGAACAGAGGGAGUAACCAAGGCACAGAUCUAUUGAAGAAGCAAAAGCACAAUUCACAAAGUGGGAUGGGCUUGAGCAAGCGACUCAAGAGCCUCUCUAAUUAGGUUUUUUGUUGUUGUUGUUUUGUUUUUUUGAGACAGGGUCUCACUCUGUUGCCC
rnacentral:lncRNA from 1 species